GAAUGCCUACGGGAGGCAGCAGUAGGGAAUCUUCCACAAUGGGCGAAAGCCUGAUGGAGCAACGCCGCGUGGGUGAAGAAGGUCUUCGGAUCGUAAAACCCUGUUGUUAGAGAAGAAAGUGCGUGAGAGUAACUGUUCACGUUUCGACGGUAUCUAACCAGAAAGCCACGGCUAACUACGUGCCAGCAGCCGCGGUAAUACGUAGGUGGCAAGCGUUAUCCGGAUUUAUUGGGCGUAAAGGGAACGCAGGCGGUAUUUUAAGUCUGAUGUGAAAGCCUUCGGCCUAACCGGAGUAGUGCAUUGGG
rnacentral:rRNA from 1 species